AAAACCGACUCACAUAUCAUGUGGUAUUGGUAGAAGUGGAUAGUACUAACACUACUUUGUCUUACUCUGCUGAAAUGAAUAGGCCAGAAAAGUGGACCAUGGUAAUAGAUUCCAGGAGUGUUUUAAAAUGCUAUACUAGUCUUAUCCAAGUCAUAUUCUGAGCCACUGGACCCCCAUACUUCUAA
rnacentral:misc_RNA from 1 species